UACAGAGGGGGCAAGCGUUGUUCGGAAUUACUGGGCGUAAAGGGCGCGUAGGCGGCCUGCUAAGUCGAACGUGAAAUCCCUGGGCUCAACCCAGGAACUGCGUCCGAUACUGGUUGGCUUGAAUCCGGGAGAGGGACGUGGAAUUCCAGGUGUAGCGGUGAAAUGCGUAGAUAUCCGGAGGAACACCGGUGGCGAAGGCGGCUUCCUGGACCGACACUGACGCUGAGGCGCGAAAGCUAGGGGAGCAAACGGG
rnacentral:rRNA from 1 species